GGGACAUUGGGGACAUUGGGGUCAGUGGGGACAUUGGGGGCAUUGGGGACAUCAUUGGGGACAUUGGGGUUAUGGGGACAUCAUUGGGGACAAUGGGGACAUUGGGAAGUUGGGGACAUUGGGGACAUCUCAGGGUGGGGACACCAUUGGGGACAUUAUUGGGACAUUACGGGGUCAUUAUGGGGACAUUAUGGGGACACCACGGGGACAUCUGUGUGGGGUUAUGGGGACAUUAUGGGACAGAUAUGGAGACCUUAUGGGGCAGAUGGGGCCACUGUAGGGCCACUAUAGGGCCAUUAUAGGGCCAUCCUGGGGCCACUGUAGGGCCAUUCUGGGGCAGCUAUGGGGUCAUUGUAGGGCCAUUCUGUGGCCAUUGUAGGGCCAUUAUAGGGACCUUAUGGGGCCAUCCUGGGGCCAUUAUAGGGCCGUCCUGGGGCCAAUGUAGGGCCAUUAUAGGGCCAUUAUAGGGACCUUCUGGGGCCGUUGUAGGAUUGUAGGGCCAUCCUGGGGCCAUUGUAGGGCCAUUAUAGGGUCAUUAUAGGGCCACCCUGGGGCCACUGUAGGGCCAUUAUAGGGACCUUAUGAGGCCACUGUAGGGCCAUUAUAGGGACCUUAUGAGGCCAUUGUAGGGCCAUUAUAGGGCCGUCCUGGGGCCAUUAUAGGGCCAUUAUAGGGCUGUCCUGAGGCCACUGUAGGGCCAUUAUAGGGCCAUUUUAGGGCCGUCCUGAGGCCACUGUAGGGCCAUUAUAGGGCCAUUAUAGGGCCAUUUUAGGACCGUCCUGAGGCCACUGUAGGGCCAUUAUAGGGCCAUUGUGGGGACGUUGUAGGAUUGUAGGGCCAUUAUAGGGCCACUAUAGGGCCGUCCUGAGGCCUCUGUAGGGCCAUUAUAGGGCCAUCGUGGGGCCGCUGUAGGAUUGUAGGGCCAUUAUAGGGCCAUUGCGGCGCCGUUGUAGGAUUGUAGGGCCAUUAUAGGGCCAUUAUGGGGCCGUUGUAGGAUUGUAGGGCCAUUAUAGGGCCAUUAUGGGGCCGUUGUAGGAUUGUAGGGCCAUUAUAGGGCCAUUGUGGGGCCGUUGUAGGAUUGUAGGGCCAUUAUAGGGCCAUUAUGGGGCCGUUGUAGGAUUGUAGGGCCAUUAUAGGGCCAUUAUGGGGCCGUUGUAGGAUUGUAGGGCCAUUAUAGGGCCAUUAUGGGGCCGUUGUAGGAUUGUAGGGCCAUUAUAGGGCCAUUGUGGGGCCGUUGUAGGAUUGUAGGGCCAUUAUAGGGCCAUUUUAGGGCCGUCCUGAGGCCACUGUAGGGCCAUUAUGGGGCCGUUGUAGGAUUGUAGGGCCAUUAUAGGGCCAUUGUGGGGCCGUUGUAGGAUUGUAGGGCCAUUAUAGGGCCAUUGUGGGGCCGCUGUAGGAUUGUAGGGCCAUUAUAGGGCCAUCGUGGGGCCGUUGUAGGAUUGUAGGGCCAUUAUAGGGCCAUCGUGGGGCCGUUGUAGGAUUGUAGGGCCAUUAUAGGGCCAUUGUGGGGCCGUUGUAGGAUUGUAGGGCCAUUAUAGGGCCAUUGUGGGGCCGUUGUAGGAUUGUAGGGCCAUUAUAGGGCCAUUGUGGGGCCGCUGUAGGAUUGUAGGGCCAUUAUAGGGCCAUUGUGGGGCCGUUGUAGGAUUGUAGGGCUGUGCCGCUGUUGCCGUCCCUCCGUUGCCACCACAAACGGGCGGUGCCACCACGGGCAGUGACGCAGCCGCGGUGACACCCAAAGCCACCGCAGCGGCCAAAGGCGCAGCCACGGAGGUGAGGACGGGGCGGCCCCAUAGAUCCGCCCCAUAGCUCUGCCCCAUAGAUGCCCCAUAGCUGCCCUAUAGCGCCCCAUAGCGCCCCAUUACCCCAUAGACCCCAUUCAUCCUCCAUCCAUUCCUAUUGCCCUCCAUCUCUGCCCCAUAGAGCCCCAUAGCGCCCCAUAGCUCUGCCCCAUAGAUGCCCCAUAGCCGCCCCAUAGCGCCCCAUAAGCCCAUAGCCCCCAUUCAUCCUCCAUCCAUUCCCAUUGCCCUCCAUCUCUGCCCCAUAGAGCUCCAUAUCUGCCCCAUAGAGCCCCAUAGCGCCCCAUAGCUCUGCCCCAUAGAUGCCCCAUAGCCGCCCUAUAGCGCCCCAUAGCGCCCCAUUACCCCAUAGACCCCAUUCAUCCUCCAUCCAUUCCCAUUGCCCUCCAUCUCUGCCCCAUAGAGCUCCAUAUCUGCCCCAUAGAGCCCCAUAGCGCCCCAUAGCUCUGCCCCAUAGAUGCCCCAUAGCUGCCCUAUAGCGCCCCAUUACCCCAUAGACCCCAUUCAUCCUCCAUCCAUUCCCAUUGCCCUCCAUCUCUGCCCCAUAGAGCUCCAUAUCUGCCCCAUAGAGCCCCAUAGCGCCCCAUAGCUCUGCCCCAUAGAUGCCCCGUAGCCGCCCCAUAGCGCCCCAUAGCGCCCCAUAACCCCAAAGACCCCAUUCAUCCUCCAUCCAUUCCCACUGCCCUCCAUCUCUGCACCCCAUAAUGCCAUCUCUGCCCCAUAGAGCCCCAUAGCUCUGCCCCAUAGAUGCCCUAUAGCCGCCCUAUAGCGCCCCAUAGCGCCCCAUAAGCCCAUAGCCCCCAUUCAUCCUCCAUCCAUUCCCAUUGCCCUCCAUCUCUGCCCCAUAGAGCCCUAUAGAGCCUCAUAGGGCCCCAUAGCUCUGCCCCAUAGAUGCACCAUAGCUGCCCUAUAGCGCCCCAUAGCGCCCCAUAACCCCAAAGACCCCAUUCAUCCUCCAUCCAUUCCCACUGUCCUCCAUCUCUGCACCCCAUAACACCAUCUCUGCCCCAUAGAGCCCCAUAGAGCCCCAUUGCUCUGCCCCAUAGAUGCCCUAUAGUCACCCUAUAGCGCCCCAUAGCGCCCCAUAGCCCCCAUUCAUCCUCCAUCCAUUCCCAUUGCCGCACAUUUCUGCCCCAUAGCUGCCCCAUAGCGCCCCAUAGCGCCAUAUCUGCCCCAUAGCACCUCACAGCUCUGCCCCAUAGCUUUGCCCCAUAGCCCGAUCUAUGGGGCUGGAGCCAAUCUAUGGGGCUGGAACCCGAUAUGGGGCCGAUCUAUGGGGCUGGAGGCAACCUAUGGGGCAGGAGCCAAUCUAUGGGGCCAGGACCCGCUAUGGGGCCGAUCUAUGGGGCUGAAAAUGUCUAUGGGGCUGAUCUAUGUGGCUGGAGCCAAUCUAUGGGGCUGGGACAGUCUAUGAGACCAAUCUAUGGGGCCAGGACCCACUAUGGGGCCAAUCUAUGGGGCUGGGACCCACUAUGGGGCCAAUCUAUGGGGCUGGGACCCACUGUGGG
ensembl:lncRNA